rnacentral:miRNA from 10 species
GCUACAGCGGGUGCUUACAUUGCCUCCCAGACGGUGAAGAAGGUGAUAGAGAUCAACCCGUACCUGCUAGGCACCAUGGCUGGGGGCGCAGCGGAUUGCAGCUUCUGGG